CAGCAGUGGGGAAUAUUGCACAAUGGGCGCAAGCCUGAUGCAGCCAUGCCGCGUGUGUGAAGAAGGCCUUCGGGUUGUAAAGCACUUUCAGUCGUGAGGAAGGUAGUGUAGUUAAUAGCUGCAUUAUUUGACGUUAGCGACAGAAGAAGCACCGGCUAACUCCGUGCCAGCAGCCGCGGUAAUACGGAGGGUGCGAGCGUUAAUCGGAAUUACUGGGCGUAAAGCGCAUGCAGGUGGUUUGUUAAGUCAGAUGUGAAAGCCCGGGGCUCAACCUCGGAAUAGCAUUUGAAACUGGCAGACUAGAGUACUGUAGAGGGGGUAGAAUUUCAGGUGUAGCGGUGAAAAUGCGUAGAGAUCUGAAGGAAUACCGGUGGCGAAGGCGGCCCCCUGGACAGAUACUGACACUCAGAUGCGAAAAGCGUGGGGAGCAAACAGGAUUAGAUACCCUGGUAG
rnacentral:rRNA from 1 species